AACGCUAGCUACAGGCUUAACACAUGCAAGUCGAGGGGCAGCAUUUCGCUAGCAAUAGUGAAGAUGGCGACCGGCGCACGGGUGAGUAACACGUAUCCAACCUGCCGAUAACUCGGGGAUAGCCUUUCGAAAGAAAGAUUAAUAUCCGAUAGUAUAUUAAAACCGCAUGGUUUUACUAUUAAAGAAUUUCGGUUAUCGAUGGGGAUGCGUUCCAUUAGUUUGUUGGCGGGGUAACGGCCCACCAAGACUACGAUGGAUAGGGGUUCUGAGAGGAAGGUCCCCCACAUUGGAACUGAGACACGGUCCAAACUCCUACGGGAGGCAGCAGUGAGGAAUAUUGGUCAAUGGACGAGAGUCUGAACCAGCCAAGUAGCGUGAAGGAUGACUGCCCUAUGGGUUGUAAACUUCUUUUAUAUGGGAAUAAAGUAUUCCACGUGUGGAAUUUUGUAUGUACCAUAUGAAUAAGGAUCGGCUAACUCCGUGCCAGCAGCCGCGGUAAUACGGAGGAUCCGAGCGUUAUCCGGAUUUAUUGGGUUUAAAGGGAGCGUAGGUGGAUUGUUAAGUCAGUUGUGAAAGUUUGCGGCUCAACCGUAAAAUUGCAGUUGAAACUGGCAGUCUUGAGUACAGUAGAGGUGGGCGGAAUUCGUGGUGUAGCGGUGAAAUGCUUAGAUAUCACGAAGAACUCCGAUUG
rnacentral:rRNA from 1 species